UACAGAGGUCCCGAGCGUUGUUCGGAUUCACUGGGCGUAAAGGGUGCGUAGGUGGUGAGGUAAAUCGAAUGUGAAAGCCCCCGGCUCAACUGGGGAGGGUCAUUCGAUACUGAUUGACUUGAAGGCAGGAGAGAGAAGUGGAAUUCCCGGUGUAGUGGUGAAAUGCGUAGAUAUCGGGAGGAACACCAGUGGCGAAGGCGACUUCUUGGCCUGUUCUUGACGCUGAGGCGCGAAAGCUAGGGGAGCAAACGGG
rnacentral:rRNA from 1 species